rnacentral:rRNA from 1 species
AUUGAACGCUGGCGGCAGGCUUAACACAUGCAAGUCGAACGGAGUGGCGGACGGGUGAGUAAUGCCUAGGAAUCUGCCUGGUAGUGGGGGAUAACGUCCGGAAACGGGCGCUAAUACCGCAUACUAUCAGAUGAGCCUAGGUCGGAUUAGCUAGUUGGUGGGGUAAAGGCCUACCAAGGCGACGAUCCGUAACUGGGCUGAGAGGAUGAUCAGUCACACUGGAACUGAGACACGGUCCAGUCUCCUACGGAAGGCAGCAGUGGGGAAUAUUGGACAAUUGGCGAAAGCCUGAUCCCGCCAUGCCGCUUGUGUGAAGAAGGUCUUCUGAUUGUAAAGCACUUUAAGUUGGGAGGCGUUACCAGCAGAAUAAGCACCGGCUAACUUCGUGCCAGCAGCCGCGGUAAUAC